rnacentral:other from 1 species
AGUGCACAGUGCUGCCUCGUCUGAGGGGACAAGAGGAUCACCCUCGUCGUCGCUUCGGCCAGUGCGUCGGGCUGGGCCCUGACAAGCCACCUGAGGAGAGGCUCGGAGCCGGGUCCGGACCCCGGCGAUUGUCGCCCGCUUCUCCUGCUUCUGGUCUCACGAGGGGUUUCCCGCCUCGCACACCCACCUCUGGACUUGCCUUUCCUUCUCUCUCCGCGUGUGGAGGGAGCCAGCGCUUAGGCCGGAGCGAGCCUGGGGGCCGCCCGCCGUGAAGGCAUCGCGGGGACCGAUUCACCAUGGAGGGCGCCGGCGGCGCGAACGACAAGAAAAAGUGAUUUGGAUAUUGAAGAUGAAAUGAAAGCACAGAUGAAUUGCUUUUAUUUGAAAGCCUUGGAUGGUUUUGUUAUGGUUCUCACAGAUGAUGGUGACAUGAUUUACAUUUCUGAUAAUGUGAACAAAUACAUGGGAUUAACUCAGUUUGAACUAACUGGACACAGUGUGUUUGAUUUUACUCAUCCAUGUGACCAUGAGGAAAUGAGAGAAAUGCUUACACACAGAAAUGG